AGCGGCCCUGAUCGAAGCCGUGCUAGUGGCUAUGUAACUAGCGCGGUCAUACAGAGGCCUAGAGUAGACUUCUCCCACGACGGUCGCUGCUCCUGCUGUACUGUGCGGGAGCAUAGCAACAUUCAGGGGAGAGACACGC